GAUGAACGCUAGCGGGAGGCUUAACACAUGCAAGUCGAGGGGCAUCACGGGGUAGCAAUACUCUGGUGGCGACCGGCGCACGGGUGAGUAACACGUAUGCAACCUGCCUCGUACAGGGGGAUAACCCGGAGAAAUUCGGACUAAUAUCCCAUAAUGAUAUUGAAAGGCAUCUUUUGAUAUUUAAAGCUCAGGCGGUACGGGAUGGGCAUGCGGAACAUUAGCUAGUUGGCAGGGUAACGGCCUACCAAGGCUGCGAUGUUUAGGGGACCUGAGAGGGUUAUCCCCCACACUGGUACUGAGACACGGACCAGACUCCUACGGGAGGCAGCAGUGAGGAAUAUUGGUCAAUGGGCGCAAGCCUGAACCAGCCAUCCCGCGUGAAGGAAGAAGGCGCUAUGCGUUGUAAACUUCUUUUCCAGGGGGAGAAUUUUUUCCGUCGUGACGGGAAUUGACGGUACUCUGGGAAUAAGCAUCGGCUAACUCCGUGCCAGCAGCCGCGGUAAAGUAGACG
rnacentral:rRNA from 1 species